GCCAUCAUAGUAGUGUCAGCUAAAUACGAAAAUUAUCUCGGGGUUUCAUUCCUAACGCUCCCCGUAUUUGUGAUUGUCACAGCUUCUAUUUUACUAUGUACAGCCUUGGUCGGAUGGUUUGCUGUGAAAUCGGAAAAAUGUGAUGCCUUUUCAGCGUAUCUCGGAUUACUUGUAGCGGUAUUAAUAUUCGAAAUAUUGAUAGCCGUUCUCGCUUUUGAACUGAAUGAUGAUAUUUACAGAGGAAAAAUAAUUAAUCAUAAUAUGUUUGAUAGUAGGCUGCGUUAUAAUACAUCGGAAAAUCCAAAUCGUUUUAAUUAUUAUUAUAACGAUUAUGAUUAUUAUAAUUACGGCGUUGCGGGCUGGGACAUUCUGCAAAGUGAGUUACAAUGCUGUGGCUACAACGACGUGAAUGACUGGAAAGUCGAGAUACCGCUCAGCUGCUGCCCGAUGACCUGGAGGGGUCAGACCUUCAACUGCACGCUGGAGAAUGCAUACACGAGCGGGUGCAGCUGGAAGCUGAGCUGGAUGUUGGCGGAUUAUAUCUUUGUACUCGGAAUCACAGCCUCCACUGUCACUGGGCUACAGGGUAUAAUCAUAUGUAUUGCGAUUUGGAUUGCUUAUAAAUUGAAAAACCGCGAGGAAGCCUCUUAUAAAAGCCUAUUAGAGGGUACAGAUCAUUCACAAUACAAUUUUCUUCCAGGGGAAACUAUGUAGUACUAUAUAACUAACGUUGGUAAUAUAAUACCUAAUAAUAAUUAAAAAAUUGUUUGUACUCUUAAAAAUAUUUGUGUAU